UAAAAGAGAAGGGGAAACCCCUGAAGAGUCAUAGUACAAAGCCCAACUGUUACAAAUAGCCUGAUGAUGAUCAUCAUUAUCACGAAAAGAAAACCAUAGACCAUUCCUACAUGCUCGAUUAGUAAGAAAAUGAGCAUAAGUUACAUCACAUUGUUCCUGGAGACAUGAGACCAACGAACAGAGGAAAGGAAAACUCCCUCGAUACCUAUUUAAUAUCAUGAAUUACAGACCAAACCUCAGCUGGGAUCGGAUGGUUCUUUUCCAUCAUGUUCGUUGUUCACCAAUAGGGUACUGUCGGAUUCUGCCAUUACAUGAGAGAGUUGAAGAUUCAUCACUAUCUUCAAGCCUUCCAAAGCAGCCUGGGAUUCAGAGAAAAAGGAGAGACCUAGGCGAAUCGGAUUUCGAGGAGGCUGCCAAAAAAUUUCCAUUUGCCUUGUAAAUAACACAACCAUAGCCAGCAUAGGAAGAUCUGAGAAACCUCCAUCAAAACUUUGACAAAACUUGCAUGGGUGGAAUGAAUUCUUAUUCCCAAAUCCCGAGGGGGAGAGAAUUACCAUUCCGUCAAACGAGGGAAUAUCAUGAAUGGGAAUGGGAUUUCGAUUCUGUUCAAUUAAACGGUUGGAAUUCUACUACAGUCUACAGAUUCUUAUUCCCGCCGCUAACCAAACGGACCCUUAUUUGUUUGGUAAAUGACUAAAUCGUGAAGUAGACGAACGAAAUUUAUUUCCAUCCAAAUUCGAAUUUUGAACCUGCAAACCCUAAAGACACUACCAGGCAUUUAGAUUGUGGACUUGGUUUCCUUACAUUGAACUGCAUUUCAGGGCGAUGAUUAUUGGAAGGCACUUUAAUGGUCCUUUGGUCCCUUGGGUUUGGAGAGAAUUUUAGGGUAUCUUGGAGAAUACUGAAGUUGUGUCUCUCAAGUGGGUACCUAGAUCAGCCAAAUACUCUUGCUGACCCUCUGGCUAAAUCUGGGUUAACAGGGAAAAUAUUGUUUUGGAAGGUGACAUCAAUUAAGAGUGUCAUAGCAGUCCUCCCAGCUUACUACACGUCCCUUUUUCCAAUUCCCUCUUAGAUGGCAGGGAAGAUAGAAAAAACGGAUGAGAAAUGUCCUUUAAUUUGGGUGGGAGGACUCCUCUAAGUAUCAUUUGGUGAAUUGGGAUGAUAUCUGCAAGCCUCUUUCUCAUGGAGGUUUAGGAAUCAGGAAAAAAAGGUUCAAUACAGCAUUAUUGGAAAAGUGGCUUGGAGGUUUUCCACUGAGAAGUAUGGAAUCAAUGCUAAUGGCUGGAAUGUAGAGGGUUCCCAACUAUCCUUUGAGUGUGGAGUGUGGAAAGGUAUUAUAAAGCAUGCUACCAUUUCAUUAAGGGGAUAAAAUACUAGGUUGGAAAUGGAAGCAGAUUGAGGUUCUGGUUGGAUUCAUGGUGUGGUGAUAGCACUUGUAAGGGACAGGUUUCCAACUCUUCUCAAUGUGGCUGACAACCAACAAGCUUUGGUUGCUGAUUGCUAUCAAUUGGAAGGCAGCAGUAAUAUGGACAGCAGCUUUUAGAAGGAAUUUCAACGACUGGGAGGUGGAACAGGUGUUUGAUUUUCUCUCUUUGAUCCAGAAUCAACAUCUAGAAUUGCAGUCUGACUCAAGAAGUUGGAUAUUGGGCACAUUCAAGCAAGUUUUCAGUUUAAGUCCUACAAGGGCCUUGUGGAAGAGCAGAGGCAACUUUUCCCAAGAAAAGCCAUAUGGGGAGUUGCUGCACCUCUAAAAGUCAAAUUCUUUUCUUGGGUGGUGGCAUGGGAGAAAUGCCUCAUAAAGGAAAGUGUUUCUAAGGAAGGGUUUUAACAUUCCAGAUCUGCUGUGCCUGUUAUAUGGUUUGCAAGAUGAGUCCUCAAACCAUCUUUUCAUCCAUUGCAGAUUUUCUGCAAGAGUUUAAAUCAUUUUAUUAACUCAGUUCACCUAAACUGGUGCUUCCCAAGGUCAAUGAAGGAAUUGUUUCAAGGGUGGCAGGUUUUUGGCAUGUCCAAAAGAGGAAGAUACUUAUGGUCAGCCAUCUCAAAUGCAGUUUUGUGGGCCAUUUUGCUUGAAAAAUAAAAAACAGGAUUUUUUUAGCAGAAAGCAAAAUCAGAAGCUGGGGUAAUUAAUUUUGUAGUGGAGGAAUGUUGGAUGUCUAUAUAUAAUGUAUUUAAAGAUUAUGUUUUUUCCUGCAACUUUUUUGAGGGUGGACCUUUUUGGGAGGCCUUUAAAUGUGAUAUCUGUACUGCAUCUCAUUUUACAGACUGUUUGACAUCUUGAUACUAAAAUAAUAUACUUUACCUUUUGCAUGUGUGGACAUGGAAUGGACUUCUAAACUGAUAAUAGUAUUUUGAUUGUAAUUGGGGGCAGAUUAGGCAUAACGCCUAAACAAUAAGGCAUCCUGGGAGUGUCACCUUCUGCAAACGCAUGGUCACAUGCAUAUUUUUGUAUAAGGUGCCACAUAAUCUUUUAUAUUUUUUUUUUGUUUUAUGAUAUAAUAAUAUUAUGGUUGAUAGCAUUGCACUAAAUUAUUAACUCUGUAGGUUUAUAAUAUUUUAUUGUUCUUAUACUACUCUCUUUUAUUAUUCUCUUAUUUGUUUGGGUCCAAUCAUCACAUUAGUUGGCGAGUUGGUCGUGAACCUUUAAGACUUAAGAAGUGUUCAAUAUAAGGAAGAAUUUGAAUAUUUUAUCCAAUCAAUACAAGAGCAAUCAAGGAACUAAAAGAUUCUUCUGUUUUCUAUGUUUUAUUUUCUUUCUUCUUUUCCUUCUCAUAAAUGUGUUUCCAACUUUCUAUGUUUUGAUGUGAAGUUUAUAUUUAUUUCAUGAGGAUUAGGGUUACUAUGAUUUAAAGGUUACUUCUGAUUACCAUGAGACCUAGGGAACUGCUCUAGGACUUUGUUCUUUCAUUAUAAAAAAAACAUCACCUAGGUGAUGUUUAGGCAGGUGACUAGGUGACAAGGCACUCCCUAUCACCUAGCUUCACCUUAGUACUUCUUAUUUAGUAAUUGUUGCUUUAAUUCUAUCAUCUUAAGAAACUAAUUACUUAAAUGUUGCCUAGAGUAAAACUUGCUUCCAAGGCAAGUAGGAUCUAGCUGAACUUGAAAAAUGAUCUUUUCAUUAGUAGUAUUAUAAAAAUAAUAAAAUCUUCAACUUGUUGCUUAACUUUAUUUCUUAAUUCUUGUGUUUUUUGGAUUUGGCUUUGGGAGAAUGAUUGGUAGAGGUUGGACGGUUGACGAACUUUACAUGCAGAAGGAUAAGGUGUCUAAGUUGACUUUGUAUGUCUAACAAUUGAUUCUUGUAAUAAGGGGAAUAUUUAUUUAUGGCAUCAUCAUCUUGGCCAUUCUCCCUUUGAGUUCUUGAAGGUUUUGUUUUCAAAUUUGUUUGUCUCUUGAUUUUUCUCUUUUCAGUGUCGUACUUGUCAUCUGAUUAAGCACUAUACAAACUCUCAUCCUUUACAUAAUAAAAGAACCAGUUUUCAUUUUUCUAU